UGAUAUGUUAAUGGAUGACUCA
rnacentral:piRNA from 1 species